rnacentral:rRNA from 1 species
UACGCAGGCGGGCUUGUAAGUCAGUGGUGAAAUUCUGCCGCUUAACGGUAGAACUGCCAUUGAUACUGCAAGUCUUGAAUAUGGUUGAGGUAGGCGGAAUGUGUUGUGUAGCGGUGAAAUGCAUAGAUAUGACACAGAACGCCAAUUGCGAAGGCAGCUUACUAAGCCAUUAUUGACGCUGAGGCACGAAAGCGUGGGGAGCGAACAGGAUUAGAUACCCUGGUAGUC